UACGUAGGGUGCAAGCGUUAAUCGGAAUUACUGGGCGUAAAGCGUGCGCAGGCGGUCUUGCAAGACAGAUGUGAAAUCCCGGGGCUCAACCUGGGAACUGCAUUUGUGACUGCAAGGCUGGAGUACGGUAGAGGGGGAUGGAAUUCCGCGUGUAGCAGUGAAAUGCGUAGAUAUGCGGAGGAACACCGAUGGCGAAGGCAAUCCCCUGGACCUGUACUGACGCUCAUGCACGAAAGCGUGGGGAGCAAACAGG
rnacentral:rRNA from 1 species